AGCGGCGGAUGGGUGAGUAACACGUGAGGAACCUGCCCCUAAGUCUGGGAUACCAUUUGGAAACAGGUGCUAAUACCGGAUAAUAAAGCAGAUCGCAUGAUCAGCUUUUGAAAGGCGGCGUAAGCUGUCGCUAAGGGAUGGCCCCGCGGUGCAUUAGCUAGUUGGUAAGGUAACGGCUUACCAAGGCGACGAUGCAUAGCCGAGUUGAGAGACUGAUCGGCCACAUUGGGACUGAGACACGGCCCAAACUCCUACGGGAGGCAGCAGUAGGGAAUCUUCCACAAUGGACGCAAGUCUGAUGGAGCAACGCCGCGUGAGUGAAGAAGGUUUUCGGAUCGUAAAGCUCUGUUGUUGGUGAAGAAGGAUAGAGGUAGUAACUGGCCUUUAUUUGACGGUAAUCAACCAGAAAGUCACGGCUAACUACGUGCCAGCAGCCGCGGUAAUACGUAGGUGGCAAGCGUUGUCCGGAUUUAUUGGGCGUAAAGCGAGCGCAGGCGGAAAAAUAAGUCUAAUGUGAAAGCCCUCGGCUUAACCGAGGAACUGCAUCGGAAACUGUUUUUCUUGAGUGCAGAAGAGGAGAGUGGAACUCCAUGUGUAGCGGUGGAAUGCGUAGAUAUAUGGAAGAACACCAGUGGCGAAGGCGGCUCUCUGGUCUGCAACUGACGCUGAGGCUCGAAAGCAUGGGUAGCGAACAGGAUUAGAUACCCUGGUAGUCCAUGCCGUAAACGAUGAGUGCUAAGUGU
rnacentral:rRNA from 1 species